GUAGGGUCCGAGCGUUGUCCGGAAUUACUGGGCGUAAAGAGCUUGUAGGCGGUUCGUCGCGUCGUUUGUGAAAACUUGGGGCUCAACCUUAAGCUUGCAGGCGAUACGGGCGGACUAGAGUACUUCAGGGGAGACUGGAAUUCCUGGUGUAGCGGUGAAGUGCGCAGAUAUCAGGAGGAACACCGGUGGCGAAGGCGGGUCUCUGGGAAGUAACUGACGCUGAGAAGCGAAAGCAUGGGUAGCAAACAGGAUUAGAUACCCUGGUAGUCCAUGCCGUAAACGGUGGGUACUAGGUGUGGGGCUCCUUCCACGGACUCCGUGCCGUAGCUAACGCAUUAAGUACCCCGCCUGGGGAGUACGGCCGCAAGGCUA
rnacentral:rRNA from 1 species